AUUGAAAGCUGGCGGCAUGCUUUACACAUGCAAGUCGAACGGCAGCGCGGGCUUCGGCCUGGCGGCGAGUGGCGGACGGGUGAGUAAUGCAUCGGAACGUGCCCAGUAGUGGGGGAUAGCCCGGCGAAAGCCGGAUUAAUACCGCAUACGACCUGAGGGUGAAAGCGGGGGACCGAAAGGCCUCGCGCUAUUGGAGAGGCCGAUGUCGGAUUAGCUAGUUGGUGGGGUAAAGGCUUACCAAGGCGACGAUCCGUAGCUGGUCUGAGAGGACGACCAGCCACACUGGGACUGAGACACGGCCCAGACUCCUACGGGAGGCAGCAGUGGGGAAUUUUGGACAAUGGGGGCAACCCUGAUCCAGCCAUGCCGCGUGCGGGAAGAAGGCCUUCGGGUUGUAAACCGCUUUUGUUCGGGAAGAAAUCCUCUGGGCUAAUACCCCGGGGGGAUGACGGUACCGGAAGAAUAAGCACCGGCUAACUACGUG
rnacentral:rRNA from 1 species